CCUACGGGAGGCAGCAGUGAGGAAUAUUGGUCAAUGGACGAGAGUCUGAACCAGCGAAGUAGCGUGAAGGAUGACUGCCCUAGGGGUGGUAAACUUCUUUUAUAUGGGAAUAAAAUGUUCCACGUGUGGGAUUUUGUAUGUACCAUAUGAAUAAGGAUCGGCUAACUACGUGCCAGCAGCCGCGGUAAUACGGAGGAUCCGAGCGUUAUCCGGAUUUAUUGGGUUUAAAGGGAGCGUAGGUGGAUGGGUAAGUCAGUUGUGAAAGUUUGCGGCUCAACCGUAGAAUUGCAGUUGAAACUGGCAGUCUUGAGUACAGGAGAGGUGAGCGGAAUUCGUGGUGUAGCGGUGAAAUGCUUAGAUAUCACGAAGAACUCCGAUUGCGAAGGCAGCUCACUGGACUGCAACUGACACUGAGGCUCGAAAGUGUGGGUAUCAAACAGGAUUAGAUACCCUUGUAGUC
rnacentral:rRNA from 1 species